CAGUGUGGACAUAGCCUGUCUUCUCUUGAGUCCCAGGUCUGCCUUCGGCGGCCUUUCUCAAUAGCAAGGCUCUCUCUCUCUCCCUCCUUAAUUUUGGGUCAAGUUUUCUGCCACAGUGGUCAGGUAUUCGGCAGCCUUUCUCAAUAGCAAGGCUCUCUCUCUCUCCCUCCUUAAUUUUGGGUCAAGUUUUCUGCCACAGUGGUCAGGUAUUCGGCAGCCUUUCUCAAUAGCAAGGCUCUCUCUCUCCCUCUCCUUAAUUUUGGGUCAAGUUUUCUGCCACAGUGGUCAGGUAUUCGGCAGCCUUUCUCAAUAGCAAGGCUCUCUCUCUCCCUCUCCUUAAUUUUGGGUCAGGUAUUCUGCCACAGUGGUCAGGUAUUUGGCAGCCUUUCUCAAUAGCAAGGCUCUCUCUCUCCCUCUCCUUAAUGUUGGGUCAGGUAUUCUGCCACAGUGGGAAGGUAUUUGGCAGCCUUUCUCAAUAGCAAGGCUCUCUCUCUCCCUCUCCUUAAUGUUGGGUCAGGUAUUCUGCCACAGUGGGAAGGUAUUUGGCAGCCUUUCUCAAUAGCAAGGCUCUCUCUCUCCCUCUCCUUAAUGUUGGGUCAGGUAUUCUGCCACAGUGGGAAGGUAUUUGGCAGCCUUUCUCAAUAGCAAGGCUCUCUCUCCCUCUCCUUAAUGUUGUUUUUUUUGCCACUGUGAACUCUCUAUUUAGGGCCAAAUAGCAUUUCAGUUUUUUGGUCAAUUCUUUCCAAUGUGUUUUCUCAUGAUUUGGU